AUGUUAUUAGGACCGGACCGGACCGGCCGGUCCGACCGGUCCGACCGCGACCCGCAACAAAACUGGUCUGGUCUGAUGCUUAAAACCGGAAAAGUCAAAAACCCGGGCCAAAGCACAAAAAUCCGGUCCGACCGGUGAAAACCGGCUGACCCGGAAAUCGCUCAAUCACCCGGGUUUUCAUCUAAAAUACUUUGUUGGUGGCUAUUGGCGGCGGAAUUUGGGUGAAAUCCACCGGGGAUGGCCGGAUCUAGGUGGAGCAGGCGGUGGGUGGCCGGAUUUUACAGAUCUAGCCGUUGGUGGCCGGAAUUCGACGGAACGAAGAAGAAGAAGAUGGGAAAGAAGAAAUAAAUGAAAAGAAAAGGAAGAGAAACAGUACAAAAACUAGAAAAUUUUGUGAGCAAGAAAGAGACAGAGUGAUGAAGAUGAUGGGUAGGUGACGGGAGAGAAAAAAUGGAGAGAAGAGAGAGGGGAGAGAGAAGAGAGUGUAAACAAAUAUAAAAGAAAAAAAGGGUGUUGGGA
rnacentral:lncRNA from 1 species